rnacentral:lncRNA from 1 species
CAAAUCAAAGAUCGUGAUGUAGCUGCCAACGAACCUCCACGAAAAAAUUCAUACGGAUCAGCACGAUCUUAACCGACUUUAAGAGCCCGAGUUGACCACCGAGGAGCAUAAGAGAAAGAUCAUGCAAGCGACAAGCGCAGGUCUCCCAAGCUGUCACCUGCUACCCAGUCAUGGAAGAUAAUCCCGACAUCAUAUUUUAAGGGAAGAAAGUUCUAAGACAACGAAAUGCCCAUCACCUCCGAAGGUACUAUCCACGAAGCUCAUCGCCUAUCAGCUCUGCUCCAAGCAGGCGGCCAAGCU